rnacentral:lncRNA from 1 species
GCUUCGUCAGUAGACACCACUUCUCCGUUGACCUCAUCCUCCUACCCUGAGCUAUACCACUUCUCAUCAAUCUUCUCCUUCUCUUCCAAUUUCCUCUACUGGAGACAUAUGUUGACAUCCUCCUCUCCCAAGCUCUUCCAUCAGCCUUCUCCUUCUCUACCUCUGCUAGCUUCCUCUUCCACCAGCUUCCUCCUCUUUCUCCUUCUCAUCCCAACCCCUACUCUCUCUCUCUCUUCCCUCUCCUUGCCAGCUUGUUUCCAUCUAAACCGUGAGCUACCCUCUUCCUCGAUGAUGAUGUUGGCCAAAAAAUUAUGGAUUACAUGAAAUAGAUAUCCCUCUCCCUCUCUCAUUACCCUCACUCUCUUUUCUCAAGGGUUUCACUAUUAUUGUGAAUCUCAUUUCUUUCUUUUGGUGGUUUCAAUCACUGGAGGCUGUGGUCAUCCGAAUU